AACGAACGCUGGCGGCAUGCCUAACACAUGCAAGUCGAACGAGACCUUCGGGUGUAGUGGCGCACGGGUGCGUAACGCGUCGGAACCUGCCCUUAGGUUCGGAAUAACUCCCCGACAGGGGUGCUAAUACCGGAUAAUUUCUUCUGACCAAAGAUUUAUCGCCUUUGGAUGGGCCCGCGUUGCAUUAGCUAGUUGGUAGGGUAAAAGCCUACCACGGCGACGAUCCAUAGCUGGUCUGAGAGGAUGAUCAGCCACACUGGGACUGAGACACGGCCCAGACUCCUACGGGAGGCAGCAGUGGGGAAUAUUGGAAAAUGGGCGAAAGCCUGAUCCAGCAAUGCCGCGUGAGUGAUGAAGGCCUUAGGGUUGUAAAGCUCUUUUACCCGGGAUGAUAAUGACAGUACCGGGAGAAUAAGCUCCGGCUAACUCCGUG
rnacentral:rRNA from 1 species